AAAAAAACCAAAAAGGUAAUAAAAAAUUAUCAUAUAAGGGCAAUCUAUCUUAAUGAUUUCUGCAAAAUUCAGUUGAUUGUGCAAGGGUUGUAUAGCCAGCUGAGGUCGUUAAAAACUCUCUUUUGUUGUUGCAGAUAGAUCUUGACCUGAUAAACAAUUUUACCACAUGUCAGAUUUGCUCUAAAUGCUUUGGUUUUUGAGUGAUAAGCCAAAAACCGCAUUUUACCCCUAUGUUCUAUUUUUAGCCAUGGCGGCCAUCUUGGUUGGUUGGCAGGGUCACCGGACACAAUUUUUAAACUACAUACCCUAAUAAUGAUUGUGGCCAAGUUUGGUUUAAUUUGGUCCAGUAGUUUCAGAGGAGAAGAUUUUUGUAAAAGUUAACGACGACGGACGAUGACGGACGCCGGACGCCAAGUGAUGAGAAAAGCUCACUUGGCACUUCGGGCCAGGUGAACUAAAAAUGAACUAGAAAAAUUAAGAAAGGAAAAAAUGCAUGGUAAGAUAGUUCGAUCCAGAAUACAGUGGUUAGAAGAGGGAGAAAAACCAUUUUUGAGGACUGGAAUCUAAGAAUUUUACCAGCAUUUUGGAUCCUCAAUGCUCUUCAACUUUGUAUUGAUUUGGCUUUUUAACUAUUUUGAUCUGAGCGUCACUGAUGAGUCUUAUGUAGACGAAACGCGCGUCUGGCAUAUAAAAUUAUAAUCCUGGUACUUUUGAUAACUAUUAUGAAAAUUUGUACAAAAAACAGAGAUGUAGAAUGUUGUAAACCUAAAGAUAUUGAAACUAGUCUACAAAAUGUAAAUCUUUAGACGAACAAGAUAAACUAGAAGGUCAAAUGUCAGUUAAUGAAGCUGGUGAAACUUUAAAAAGAAUGAAAAGUGUGGAUCAGAUGGUUUUUCAAGUGAUUUUGUUUUUAAAUUUUUCUGGCCUGACUUAAAAUAUUUUGUUGUAAGAUCCUUGAAUGCAGGUAUAAAGGGGGGCUUUCUGUUACUCAAAAACAGGGGAUAAUAACAUGUCUUCAAAAGGGUAACAAACGUAGACAUUAAAAAAAAACAACUGGCGCCCUAUAUCUUUGCUAAAUACUGUAUAUAAAAUUGGCGCUGGGGUUAUAAACAAGAAGAUUUAGAAUAGUUUUGACUAAACUUAUUGAUAUUGAUCAGACAGGUUUUAUGAGUGGAAGAUAUAUUUGGGACAAUCUAAGAUUGAUCUAUGAUAUCAUGGAAUAUACUGAAGAUAAUGAUAUACCAGGCUUUUUAUUGUUGAUAGAUUUCGAAAAAGCCUUUGAUUCCAUUUCAUGGGAAUUUCUUUUAAAUGUAUUGAUUUUUUUAAAUUCUGGCGAUUCUAUUAUAAAUUGGGUGAAACAUUAAUUCAGCAGUCAUUCAGGGAGGGAAUCUUAUAGACUUUUUCACUGUUGAACGGGGUUGUAGGCAAGGUGAUCCAUUAUCGCCUUAUCUUUUCAUUCUUUGUGCAGAAAUUUAAGAAUUAAAAAUAACAAAUAACAAAAAAAUAAAUGGAAUCAAAGUUCUUCAUGUUGAACACAAACUCUCACAGUUUGCUGACGAUACAUCACUUCUUUUAGAUGGUAGUGAAGAAUCUUUUAAUGAGACAUUGUUGGAACUAGAUUGGUUUGCUCAAAUUACUGGUUUGAAUAUAAAUGUUUUCAAAACUCAUGUAAUUUGGAUUGGAAGUAAAAAGUACAGCACAGAGACACUUUGUACAAAUCAAAAUCUUAAUUGGAAAAGCACAUCCUUUAAAUUAUUGGGUGUUAAUGUUGAUGUUGAUUUAGAUAAACUAGUUGAAAUCAAUUAUGAUGAAAAUAUUGUAAAAAUAACCAGAUGCUCCGCAGGGCGCAGCUUUAUACGACCGCAGAGGUCGAACCCUGAAGAGUUGGGGCAAGUAUGGACACAACAUUUAACUUGAUACAGCUCUGAAUUUGGAUAGUGAUUAAAAAGUUGACACAACAUAGGUUUCUGACACAGAAUGAAUGUGGUCUAAGAACUCAAAUAUUUACCUAUUAUGGUCCAAUAUCCAAAAUUUAAAUACAUGGUUAGAUUCAGCAUAUCAUAGAACCCUAAGAAUUCAAUUUUUGAUGAAAUCAAAUAAUGUUCAAUUUUAGACCCUUUAAACCUCAAUGUGGACCAAUUUUAUUAACGGGCCCAAAUAUUAAAAAUCUAAAUACUUGGUUAGAUUCAGCAUAUUUAAGAACCCCAUAUAUUUAAUUUUUGUUGAAAUCAAACAAAGUUUAAUUUUGGACCCCAAACAACUUGAAAACUGGGCCCAUAAUAAAAAAAUCUAAGUACAUGUUUAGAUUCAGCAUAUAAAAAAACCCCAAGAAUUCAAUUUUUGUUAAAAUCAAACUAAAGUUUAAUUUUGGACCCUUUGGACCUUAAUGUAGACCAAUUUGAAAACAGAACCAAAAAUUAAGAAACUAAAUACACGGUUAGAUUUGGCAUAUCAAAAUACCCCAAUAAUUCAUUUUUUGAUGAAAUCAAACAAAGUUUAAUUGUGAACCUUUUUGGCCCCUUAUUCCUAAACUGUUGGGAGCAAAACUCCCAAAAUCAAUCUCCACCUUCCAUUUGUGGUCAUAAACCUUAUGUUAAAAUUACAUAGAUUUCUCUUCACUUAUACUAAAGUUAUUGUGCGAAAACCAAGAAAAAUGCUUAUUUGGGCCUUUUUUGGCACCUAAGUCCUAAACUGUUGGGACCAAGACUCCCAAAAUCAAUCCCAACCUUCCUUUUAUGGUCAUAAACCUUGUGUUUAAAUUUCAUAGAUUUCUAUUCACUUAUACUAAAGUUAUAGUGCGAAAACCAAAUGUCUUCGUUCUCAAAAGAAAAAAGUGAUCUAAAGAUAUGUAUUUGUUGCUAAACAAAAACAACACUGUUCAUACAGGAGUAAAAAGAUGGG
rnacentral:lncRNA from 1 species